AAAGCGAAAAGAGUACGUUUUAUCGAAGUGUGGUUUAGAGAAAUGCGAUGUGUGCACGGCGGGAACCUACACUUGCAAGCAAACCAUGCUACGCGCGCUCGCUGUCGCUCGAAGGAAUGUUAAUCUCAAGUUCGAGCACGCACCUACAAGGGUUCAUCGCUGAGUACUCGGCAAGCUAGGCUGAUGAAUCAGAGAAACAUCGGAAGCAGCAUGCCGGGGGUUGCCAUCUUCUCGAAACCGAGUUUCGACUUUCGAGGCAGCUCGAAGAAACUGUUUUCGCUAAAACUGCGUUCGUUAGAACGAGCUUCUCUAGACCGCACGCUGUCACGGUUGAUUAAGGCGUAUAAUUAAUAUAAAAAUAUUAAUCGGGAAUUGGUGUAGUCUCGUCUUGCCUUGGUGCUUUGUUUGUGUAAUAAAUUACCUCGCUGAUCAGCCACAUUUUCUCCACCACAUGCGGAUGUGACGGUUGGAAUUGUUUGAACAUAAUGCGAUUACUUCACAUUAAAUUCGAUUGUAUUCUUUUCUUACAGAGAUGAAUUUCGCAUAUGUGCAAUAUUUUACUGGAACAGCACGACCUAAGACUAUCAUCAGUACAUCUGCAAUUAAAAACUUUGAACCGAGAAGUGAGGAUGACUACAAGAAGGGUCACCUCUAUGAUGCUUUGUUGACUCCAGACGGAGGGGAGCCGGGCUGUUUUAAAGCCCAAAUACUACUUUUGGCAGACUCAAAGUCGUCGAUCGAGGAGAGGAUCAAAAGGGGCAAGAGGAUCCCUCUACCUAAAGUCCUUGACCAGGUUGUUGAGCACAGCAGUUCGGAAGACGACCAAGCAGCUCUUCGGGUCGAAAUG